rnacentral:lncRNA from 1 species
CAGCUUCAAAAGGCGUAAACACUCAGGAAAUACAAAAUAAAUUAAAAGAAAAAGUGCUGGAGCCAAGUUCUAUACCUAAAAAAAGACGUAUUUCAAGAACACCAAGCACAGAGUCGGAAGAUGAAGAAUUAGAGCAUUUUAUAGAUGAAUUCCCGGGUGUAACUCCAGAAGAGUUAGCAAAAGUACAUGACAUAAGCAUAUCUCAAGCUGAAAGGAUCAUAGACCCUUCGAAAAUAGAAAACGAAUAAAAUGAAAAAAAGCAUUUGACUGUACAGCGUAAAGGACUAUUUCUGUUUUGUACUAUGGGACAGGAUA